AUUUAAUUUAAGAAGAAAACUUCUCCCCCUUCUUCAGUUCCCUCUCUCAAUCCAUGGUGAUGAAUUGGAAGACUUCAAAAUCAUACAAAUUUGUGUUCAGCAGGUGAACAAUAAAGUGUGCUCAAAAGAAUCUCUAAUCUCUCAAAGUAAAGACUGUGUGAGCUCUCUGAUGAAACUUUCCUUCUCUGAUGGCUAAUACGCCCAUCUCAUUCAAUCUUCAUCUCAAAGCAUAAGUUAUUCCAAAUAAUAUGAUAGCUUUUUGGAGGCAUUUUAAAAAUAUUUUAGCACAUUUUCACUUGAUUGGAAAAUACUUUAGUAAUAAACUUAUUGGUUCUAAGUUGUAAGUAUCUUCAAGUUAAAUGUACUGCAAUCAGCUUCAAAGAUUUUGUAUUUUCUACAUGUCCAAGUAAUGGUUUUCCUUGUUUAUUUUCAUUAAAAAUCUUAGAUGGUAAAGUAAAACUUGUUAGAUGGUAAGCCUAGAGGACAUGCACCUUUGCUUUAUUUAUCUCAAAACAAAUCUUAGUAGUGAUAAGCAGCAUAUAAAUUGCAUAAAAGUAUCUGCAUUAGUUAUGGGGGUAAAGCAUUUGAGUUAAACAAAUUAGCUAAAUAGUUAAAUUUUCGUGUAAGAGGUUUGAGUUUUUGUGCUAGCAAAGCAUCUGGUGUUGCUUCUGUCCAUAUAUAUUAAAAGCUGAUUGUUGGGUCCUUUUCCCAAACCUUUCUGAUGAUUUUAUUACCUCUCCAAAUAUAUCAACUAUGAUAGGCAUGCUUCAGUAUCUGAGGCAUGACCCAUUUCAAUCAAAAAGUUGUACGGAAGAAGUUCCAAGCUUCAUAGCACCAGUGUGAGUUUUUUUGCAUAGGUUGUCUUUUGUUAGACAUGUCCUUCUUACAAAUGUGAAGUGUUUGGUUUCCCAUUCUUUAGAAACAUACAUAGUUGACCAAUAUAAGGAAGAAUCAUGUCCAACAUAUAUACUUCUCCGCUAACUAGGAUUAAUUCCAUCAUAGUCAAGAGAUUUCUAGUAUCAAGACAGAAAGUAAGUUUUCACUACAUGCGUCAAGUUAAGGAAAUUUAACACACAACUUAACAUUGUAAUAAACAUCAACUCCAGAAUCCCAAAUUAGGUGAUGGUUCAUCGAGUUGUGUCUUCACAUAUACUAAGGAGCACAUCCAUCGUACUUCUUGGCCUAACAUGGAGUAUUUCCUUUAUAAGCAUGAAAAUCCUAUAAGUAAGCUGCAUUUCAUCCUCUUCUAAUAGUACCUUCUCCUUAUCGACUUAUAAACCUUUCCAUUCUUUUGAUUGAUGACAUGUUAAAUAGGCCGUCUUUUUGAAAUGUUGUAAGAGCUUGUACACUUUCUAUGAAUUGGCUAUGUACUUGUCAUAGAACUCAACAUGAGGAAUUUUAUUGAACAGUCUGGGAAACAGUAGAGGAAUUGACAUCCCCUACAAUUGGAUUUAUUCCCAUUAUCAAUUGUUUCCUCAGGUUUCAUAUAAGAAUAAUAUUGAAAGUUACCCUCGUCAAUACUAGUAUAAAGGUAUGUCUUAAUGUUGAUUGUUUGAUAUAUUUGCUUGACACAAACUGUUGAUUCUUCUUCGUGUUUUUUCUUCACAUAUGAGGAAGAAUCAUGUCCAAAAUAUUUCUUAGUAAAUAAGAAAAUCCUACUAACCAUACAGAAAGUAAGUUCCCAUGAAAUACUUUAAACUCGCAUAAGAGAAUUUAACACAAAAUAUCACUUCAAAAUAAAAAUCAACUCAAUAACCCCAAAUUGAAUGAUGAUUCUUAGAUUUUCUUCUUCACAUAUGAGGAAGGAUCAUGUUCGACAUAAAUAGAUCUCAGUCUAACUUGGACUAAUCCCUUAACAUGAAAGAAAUUCCUGCUACUUAAAAAGUAAGUUCCCACUGAGAAAAUUCAUACAUCAUUUAAGAACAAGCAUGGAAUGUAAAAACCAUCUUUGUUCCCAAACAGAGUGUUCAAAACAUUCAACAAGGUUCACAAUUCUAUGUUUCCAAGUAGAUAAAAUAUUUAUUUUACCUUAAACCAAAGGCAGAACACAACUUUACCGCCCCAUCAACAAAACGUCUCUUUUCUGUUUGCACAUCCAAAACACUUUAGCCAAAGAUUAAGAAGGAUUGUGAUAACGAUACUAAUCAACAAGAUUCACAACUUCUGCUUUAGAUGAUUCCCGUUGAAAAUUUGUUAUCUCCGCUUGUUCUUUGAGAGAUUUUUUAUAUUCCAUUUGACUAGGCUUGACUUCCAUUUUUACAAGUGUUGGAGACUUUUCCAAUAAAACCUUACUAAGUUGCAUUUCACCCUCUUCUUAUAGUUCAUCAUACAACUUAACUAUCCUCAAAUGAUGUCCGAGAAGAUUGCAGGAAUCUAAUAAACAAUUUCCUGUGGCACAGAUUCGAAAUAACGAUACACUCGUAAGAAGAAUCAAGAAAAAACCAUCAAAUUCAUUACAUACGAAUAUAAAAAUAUGGAAAA